AUAGUACUCCCUCUGUCCCAAAAUUCUUGUCUUAAAUUUUUCUAGAAACAGAUGUAUCUAAUACUAAAAUGUGACUUGAUACAUUCAUAUUUAGACAAAUCUAAGACACGAAUUUUGGGACAGGGGGAGUAUAAU
rfam:Triticum aestivum genome assembly, contig: Triticum_aestivum_CS42_TGACv1_scaffold_328058_4BS